rnacentral:rRNA from 1 species
UAUCUCUGUAGAGUCUGCAUAUCAAUAAGCGGAGGAAAAGAAACUAACAAGGAUUCCCUUAGUAACGGCGAGUGAAGCGGGAAGAGCUCAAAUUUGAAAUCUUCAAGGUUUUACCUUGACGAAUUGUAGUUUAAAGAAGUGUUUUCUGUUGAAGUUUUGGUAAAAGUUCUUUGGAAUAGGACAUCAUAGAGGGUGAGAAUCCCGUAUUUGACCAUUAUUUUCAGCUGUGUGAUACACUUUCAAAGAGUCGGAUUGUUUGGGAAUGCAGUCCAAAAUGGGUGGUAAAUUUCAUCUAAAGCUAAAUAUUGGCGAGAGACCGAUAGCGAACAAGUACCGUGAGGGAAAGAUGAAAAGAACUUUGAAAAGAGAGUUAAACAGUACGUGAAAUUGUCAAAAGGGAAGCGUUUGACACCAGUGUUGUUUUCUCGAAAAUCAAUUAAAAAGAGUUUGAUUUUGUUGUGUAUUGACCUUAACAGCUUGCAUUUCAAUUUUCUUGCUUUUUUUAAUGCACUUUUCGUUUAACAAGUCAACAUCAGUUUCUUUUGUUGUAAAAAGGUCAUUGGAAGGUGGCUUUCUUUUCGGAGAAAGUGUUUAUAGCCUUUGACUCCUGCAAUCGGAGAGACUGAGGUCUGCAGCGUAGAUCCUUCGGGGUUAGAUACAUUUGUGCUAAGUUAUAGCUUUUUAUAGACAACUUGUUGACUAUGAUUAGUCUUGUAGCUUACUCGCUUAUGCUAUUCUACCUACGCUUAGGAUGUUGAAGAUAUGCGCGACACG